AGGAAAACAGGCAUUUUCAUUCUUCCUGUUUUUCGGUAAGUCCAUGAAGUAAAUGAUUUGAUAUUUGGAAAAUAAAGAGGCGCCUACAUCUCUGUUUCAAGAGCUGCCUGGAUGGGAAUGGUUGCUGCUGGUGAACUUCCUUGCAAGUGUAGAAGUUUCAUGAUUGUCUCCCAUGAUUUGGCUUCACAAUUGCUGAUAAUGGUCUGGGUUUCUACGCAGGAGGGAAUGUUGGAGCAUCAGCAGGACUGUGGCUGCAGGGCUGGUGCCAAGGGCAGGCCCCUCAAACCCAGCACGGUUCCACCGUGACGUUCCAGCAGGAUCUCCAGGGCUUCUCCUGGGAAGGACGUGGGGCUCUUGGAUGUGAGACCACUGGUGGAGGUCAACUGCUGGCUUGUUGUGUGAUCCCAGACAAAGCCCUAGAGCUCCUUCUGACUCAUCUUCUCUGCCUGGAAAUCAAAUCCAGUUUCUUAAGGAACUUUUUGGAUCUUGGGUUAGAGGUACAGCAGAUUAUUACUUUCACCUAUGGAUUAAAUUCUGUUAUCAAAGGAAGUGAAAAUGUAAGUAGCAUGAGUUGGGUUGAGGAAUAG
rnacentral:lncRNA from 1 species